rnacentral:rRNA from 1 species
GUAGGUGGCAAGCGUUGUCCGGAAUUAUUGGGCGUAAAGCGCGCGCAGGCGGUUCUUUAAGUCUGACGUGAAAGCCCACGGCUCAACCGUGGAGGGUCAUUGGAAACUGGAGAACUUGAGUACAGAAGAGGAACGCGGAAUUCCACGUGUAGCGGUGAAAUGCGUAGAGAUGUGGAGGAACACCAGUGGCGAAGGCGGCUUUCUGGUCUGUAACUGACGCUGAGGCGCGAAAGCGUGGGGAGCAAACAGGGAUUAGAUACCCUGGUAGUCCACGCCGUAAACGAUGAGUGCUAAGUGUUAGGGGGGUUUCCGCCCCCUUAGUGCUGCAGCUAACGCAUUAAGCACUCCGCCUGGGGAGUACGGCCGCAAGGCUG